UGGCUGCGUCGAAUCUAGGCUCCGCGAGGAGGGAGAAGUCGUAACAAGGUGGCCGUAGGGGAACCUGCGGCCGGAUCACCUCCU
rnacentral:ncRNA from 1 species